rnacentral:rRNA from 1 species
AACGAACGCUGGCGGCAGGCCUAACACAUGCAAGUCGAGCGCCCCGCAAGGGGAGCGGCGGCCGGGUGAGUAACGCGUGGGAACGUACCCUUUGCUACGGAAUAGCCUCGGGACACUGGGAGUAAUACCGUAUGUGUCCUUCGGGAGAAAGAUUUAUCGGCAAGGGAUCGGCCCGCGUUGGAUUAGGUAGUUGGUGGGGUAAUGGCCUACCAAGCCGACGAUCCAUAGCUGGUUUGAGAGGAUGAUCAGCCACACUGGGACUGAGACACGGCCCAGACUCCUACGGGAGGCAGCAGUGGGGAAUCUUAGACAAUGGGCGCAAGCCUGAUCUAGCCAUGCCGCGUGAGCGAUGAAGGCCUUAGGGUUGUAAAGCUCUUUCAGGGGGGAAGAUAAUGACUGUACCCCCAGAAGAAGCCCCGGCUAACUCCGUG